CAUGCUACCUUAUGCGGCUGUCAUACUGGUUAUUUUAAUUCAUACAUCCGUGGUAGAUAUAGCGUCUUGAGUAAUUUUGAUUGAUGUGUUUAUUUAUAUUCGAUUCUUGAUACUACGAAACAAUAAUGGACGGGAACAUUUCUAUGGAGGAAGAUACAGAACUUCGGGACUUGGUGGUUCAGACUCUUGAGAACAAUGGAGUACUUGCAAAAGUUCGGGCUGAACUCCGAGCGAGCGUGUUUUUAGCACUUGAGGAGCAGGAGUCUGUAAUGAAUGCUGAACCGCUUCUAAAUAAAACAGUAAAACAGUAUCUGGAAAGCUCCGAAGGGAAAUUAUUAUUUUCUUUGGUUAGAGAGUUCCUGGAGUAUUUUGAAUUAGAUUACACUAUAUCUGUUUACGAUCCAGAAACUCACUUCGGGAAAGAAUAUAAUUACGUAGGAAGAAACAAACUGUGCGAAGAGCUGGGCAUCAGUUCAACUAAACCAUUACUUGGAGAAAUACUAAAAAACCAUAUCAGUUCUGUGUUGAUUACUCCCCAAAAGAAUACUGUCUGCGAUAAAAGAUUGGAUGAAACCAAAAAAGGUUUGAAUUAUUUGAAUAAUGCUACAUUUGAAGUCAACCAUCCUAAAGUGUUUCACAAAGGUUCCACGGCCGAAUGGUAUGACACGGACAUAUCAGAAAAUGAAGAAAGCUAUUUACAGUCGAAUUCACAAAUACCAUUCAAUGUUAAAAUAACAGAUAACAAUCAAUCUGAACAAACUCUUAGCACUUUAAAACAUAGUUCAAGCUGUAUAUCAAACAUUUGCAACGCAGAAAGUACAUCAAUUGCAAAACAUGUAUCUGCAUACGACGAAGUUAAUAAAAAUGACUGUUCUGAAUUAAAUUUGAUGCAGAAGACUUUAAACACGGAUGAGAAAACUGAAGCACCAUUUGAAGUAUCAAUAGAGUAUAAUAGAAAUAAUUUAGAGCAACCUAAUGUUACAAGUCUCACAGAAGCCUGUAACACAAAUUUCAUAUCUACAAAAGACGAGAACCAAAUAAUUCCAAUUGAAAACAUCUCUAAAACAAAUUCCGUAAUCAUAGUAGAAAAGAAUGUACAAAAUACAAAUAAAAUCGUAUCAGAACCUUUUGAAAAAAGUAUAUAUUUUGGCGAAAUUAUAGUUGAAGGAAAGGCAGAAAAGGUUGAAACAUUAAUAAAUCAAACUGACAGUAUAUUAAGAGAAUUACCUCCUCUAAUUUCUCGAUCGAAUCCUAUAUUUAGUGAUCUACCACCACUGAGUUGUAAAAAAACAAGUUUAAACGAUCUGAAGGAAUUAAUGCAAAUUGCUACUGAUGGAGUGGAUAACUAUGACCAAGAUUUCAUCUCGUCUCCGUCUUGUAGCGCCAGUGAACAGAGUCCUUCUAACGAUGAAUCUAGUAGUCUUUUGAAAUCGCAGGUUAAAAAAGAGGAGAACGUUUAUAGUGAGAAGCCUAUACAUAGCGAAGGGAUAAGUGAAGAAAUAGAAGACAUAAUUAGCAGUUAAUCAUUUAUGCCGAAUAACGAGAUUCUGCGCCGUUUAAACUUCUACUCGCGUAAGCAAUUACGUACUUUACACCGUCGAUUUUUUGCCUGGAAGCCGUGGCGGACAAAAAUAUUUCGAAAUUCACAGUGGGUAUGAGUGCAGACUAUGUCAAAAAAGUAUAAUCUUCUAUUUCUUGAGAGAAAUAUCGUCCAACAGAGUCCUCUCAAUCCUAAUAACUAUAAAUAAUCUUCUUUUGGCUCUCAGGGGCUCGAUUGCGAAUUUCUAACACUUAGAGAAUACUGUUAAUUUAUGUAUUUUUGCGACUCUAAAUAGUUUUCUUGUGGCACAUUACUUUAGGUGCCUCUAGCUCAUUAAUAUUAUUUAGAUCACCUCCGAAAUAAGCUUCUAUUACAAUGUGAGUACAUUAAAAAUAGUUCUUUUUAUGAAACUUACCAAAAGAAUUAACUAAGAUGAUAUAGGGGAAAGUCACCCAUUAUUCUCCGGAAUAAAUAAACGGAACCCUUGAAUAUUAUGAAAUAAUAGCACGUAGAUGGUUCAAACCAGUUUGACUGUAAAGGCUUCUCAAGUUGCGAUUUUUUAAAUUAUUUUUUACGGUUGCAAGUGCUUUUUGUAUUUGUAUCUUGUUUUUUAUUUGUAUAUUGUGGUGAUUAAAUUCCAGUUUCAGAAUAAAUGCAGUAUUAUAUUAUUUUA